GCAACCGCCUGUUCCCACCCCCGUGCCCAUGGUUGCCCUCGCGGACCUAGCAGUCUGGAGUGCGACACUUCUUCCCUGUACGUGUGGAUAUCUUGGAGGUGCUGCAUCUGCUGCACGAGGAUGAGCCGCACGUGAGGAGGUCUCGCAAUUGCACUGCUGGCGACCUACUGCACUACCCCGACGCGCUACAGAAGAUCCGCACCCGCGCGUCCAGUGGUGCACUUCAGGGUGGGCGUGGUUCCCACGAGGCUCUACUGCAUCAAGAUGUUCUGCGGCGGCGUCCACUUCACCGAUGAUCAAGACAGCUCAGAUGCUACCGUCAAUUGCCAUAGUUAAUUUCCUGUCCAUCUGUAAUUCAUUUCGUGUGUAUUCUGGUUGUUGAUGAGUUACCGGUUUGAGAAAUGUGAUGAGCAUUUCAAGGAUUUUAUGUAUUUGUUUUGGACAUGCUGAGAGUGAUGGACUAUGCGAGUAUGUAUAUGUACAUGGUUGAAAUAGCUUUUCCACUCAGAUGUUUCCGAUCCGAGAGUCAACAAAGAAGACUUGUGGCCUCAUUUCGUUUAUGAAAUUCAACAAUACUAAGGUCGGAUUUUUCA